rnacentral:rRNA from 1 species
UACGGAGGGAGCUAGCGUUAUUCGGAAUUACUGGGCGUAAAGCGCACGUAGGCGGCUUUGUAAGUUAGAGGUGAAAGCCUGGAGCUCAACUCCAGAAUUGCCUUUAAGACUGCAUCGCUUGAAUCCAGGAGAGGUGAGUGGAAUUCCGAGUGUAGAGGUGAAAUUCGUAGAUAUUCGGAAGAACACCAGUGGCGAAGGCGGCUCACUGGACUGGUAUUGACGCUGAGGUGCGAAAGCGUGGGGAGCAACAGG